ACGGCAGCACAGAGAAGCUUGCUUCUUGGGUGGCGAGUGGCGAACGGGUGAGUAACAUAUCGGAACGUACCGAGCAGUGGGGGAUAACUAAUCGAAAGAUUAGCUAAUACCGCAUAUAUUCUGAGGAAGAAAGCAGGGGACCAUUUGGCCUUGCGCUGUUUGAGCGGCCGAUAUCUGAUUAGCUAGUUGGUGGGGUAAAGGCCUACCAAGGCGACGAUCAGUAGCGGGUCUGAGAGGAUGAUCCGCCACACUGGGACUGAGACACGGCCCAGACUCCUACGGGAGGCAGCAGUGGGGAAUUUUGGACAAUGGGCGCAAGCCUGAUCCAGCCAUGCCGCGUGUCUGAAGAAGGCCUUCGGGUUGUAAAGGACUUUUGUCAGGGAAGAAAAGGGCGGGGUUAAUACCCCUGUCUGAUGACGGUACCUGAAGAAUAAGCACCGGCUAACUACGUGCCAGCAGCCGCGGUAAUACGUAGGGUGCGAGCGUUAAUCGGAAUUACUGGGCGUAAAGCGGGCGCAGACGGUUACUUAAGCAGGAUGUGAAAUCCCCGGGCUCAACCUGGGAACUGCGUUCUGAACUGGGUGACUAGAGUGUGUCAGAGGGAGGUAGAAUUCCACGUGUAGCAGUGAAAUGCGUAGAGAUGUGGAGGAAUACCGAUGGCGAAGGCAGCCUCCUGGGAUAACACUGACGUUUAUGCCCGAAAGCGUGGGUAGCAAACAGGAUUAGAUACCCUGGUAGUCCACGCCCUAAACGAUGUCGAUUAGCUGUUGGGCAGCAUGACUGCUUAG
rnacentral:rRNA from 1 species